UACGGGGGGGGCAAGCGUUGUUCGGAAUUACUGGGCGUAAAGGGCUCGUAGGCGGCCAACUAAGUCAUACGUGAAAUCCCUCGGCUCAACCGGGGAACUGCGUCCGAUACUGGAUGGCUUGAGUUCGGGAGAGGGAUGCGGAAUUCCAGGUGUAGCGGUGAAAUGCGUAGAUAUCUGGAGGAACACCGGUGGCGAAGGCGGCCUGCUGGG
rnacentral:rRNA from 1 species